CCGUGCAAGAUUUUCACACUUUGCUCACAAACCCCGUCACGCAGCCCCGCCGCGACAUUUUUUUUGCAGUUCUUGCGCUCAGUCAGUUUACUUACUACAAGUAAUGGGUACUAUGUACGCCGGCCAGUUUCUCUUUUCCGAGAGA
rfam:Pseudomonas entomophila str. L48 chromosome,complete sequence.